AUAUCUAGAUUGAAUUACGCGGUGCUCACUCUCAUUCCUAAAGUCAAAGGGGCUGACCUGAUUUCCCAAUUUAGGCCGAUUGCCUUAAUCAAUAAUUUUGUGAAGCUCCCGGCUAAGGGUCUGGCUACUAGGCUCUCUCCGAUCGCCCAUCGUGUCAUUAGUCAUUUCUCAUCUGCGUUCAUAAAGGGUAGAUUUAUUCUGGAUGGUGUUCUAUGCUUACAUGAGAUUGUCCAUGACUUGUGUAUCAAGGGUACUAAGGCAGUGGUUCUCAAACUAGACUUCGAGAAGGCUUAUGAUUUGGUGAGUUGGAAUUUCCUUCGCCAAGUGCUUCUUGCUAAAGGCUUCGAGGGUGAGGUGGUUCAUUGUCUUAUGCAGCUGGUCUCGGGAGGUCAUACGGCUGUGUCGGUCAAUGGGCAGAUAAGUAAUUUCUUUGCCAAUGGCAGGGGCCUUAGGCAAGGAGACCCGGCUUCUCCCCUACUCUUUGAUUUCGUAGCGGAUGCUCUCUCUCAUAUCUUAUCUCGGGCAGCUCUUGCUGGUCACAUUACACCUGUCAGUUCUCACCUAAUUCCCAAUGGCAUCACUCAUCUUCAAUACACAGACGACACCAUUAUUAUGGUUGAACUUAAUGAGGCUAGCCUCACGCAUCUGAAAUUCCUUCUUCUUCGCUUUGAAGCUCUGUCGGCUCUUAAAAUCAACUUUUUGAAGAGCGAAGUUAUUGUGACUGGGGUGACUGACUCUGAAGCUCAGAGAGUGGAGCAUCUUCUGAACUGCUCUCUUGGUUCAUUCCCUUUCAAAUAUUUGGGUCUCCCAAUCUCCCCUCUUAAGUUAUUGACUAAAGACUUUUCCCCGGCAGUGACCAAAGUAGGGAAUAGGGUCUUGCCAUGGAGAGGUCGCUAUAAUUCCUAG
rnacentral:rRNA from 1 species